rnacentral:tRNA from 1 species
ACAUCCGCCGUUCCGGAUCUCACGUCGCCCUCCGGAGGCGAAAGCGCAGGUUCGAAUCCUGCCGGGGGCA